CACCGUGGAAUCAGUGUAUGGAGCAAACCUGAGUGUCGCAAAGCAAAUAUUUCACAUUUCAUGUUAAAUCAGAUCCUAAAACAAGUGUGAAGAAUUGGGAUUAAGUGAGAAACGUACAUUUCAGGAGCUGAAAUGGGUUUUGAUCAGGGGGAAACCCUGCCCUGUCCCCUCUCUUCCCGGGGAGUCUGGAUGCCGUUCCAGGGGCCGGAUGUCACGAGGUGCACUGAACAGCAAGAGAGGCUGAGGUGAGGCCGGGCAGGCUGGGUGGACAGAUGUGUGACAGGUGUCACACCAGCUUUUAGACCUAGGAGAUUAAAGUGGGGCUUGGCUUUCAAGAAAAGGUAUUUAAAAUUAAAUGAAAAGGACACUAGGGGAGGAAUGGCCGCCGCUGGAGAGCCGCCGCAUCUCCACGGCCAGGUCGGCAUCCUUGCGGGGGUCAGGCUGCGGGGCAGCCCUGGGCUUUUCCUGGAUGCCGCCUUUACCCAGCAGCCGCAGCCGAGGGAGGAGCGCGGGAGCACCACGCUGCCUGCUAAUCUGGGGCUUGUGGCCUGGGUUUGGUGAGUGCGUGUGUGCGUGGCGACGUCCGUGCUGCAUGUCAUCCUUGAGCAGAGCUCAGGAAGGAGCACCUGGCUGCAGAGAUUACUCAACGCGCCCGCAGAGCCCCUCAAUGCAGUGGACUGGAGGACACGGACAGGGACCUGGGCUGCUAUGUCCGGGCCGUGGGAGCCUUGCUGCCUGGACAGUGUGCCCUGAGGGGACCCCGGAUGGCAGUCAGGCACUGGCCUGGCUCAGGCCUGGCUCCGCUCUUCAGUGGUCAGCGUGAGCCCUGCCAUCCUCCUUUCUUUGUCUGUGGAUGCGGGGUCAUUGCAGUCGGCCUCAACGCCCCCUUAGCUCUUCCAUUCUCAAAUUCCAUUUACCUUUUGAUCCGGUUCCAUCCUUUUAAGUGCUGUCACCUUUGCUUACUUGUAUAAACACGAGAGAAAAUCAUACUUGUUUACUAACUUAAAUUUAAACAAUGAAUAACAAGAAAAACGUGAAAGAGAACCCAUCACCUCUGAGCCUACAGGUUGCGAGAAMCCCCCUGGCUCCCCCUGAGCGCCCCAGGCCCGGCCAGCAGCCUGGGCUCCCGGAGUCUCCGGCCCUGGAGGGGGCGGGCAAUGCUGCUCUGCCGCGCCCUCUGGUGGCCGCUCUCCGUCAUGGUCACCAGCCGCAGGGUUGUGCCUUGGGCUGCCCAGGCGAAAGAUUUAAUUUACUCCGACAAAUAUUCCAUCUGGUGYUUCGGGUAGAGUCCCGGAAAAUGCCAUCUCUCUUUUCUGGAAGUCUCUCUCUUAGUGGCCAGUGAUGAAGAUGCCAGAAAAAAGUAGCCCAUUCAUCAUAUUUAUGUUGUGUGAGAUGGUACCUCAGAGGGUGAAGUCAAUGAGAAGAAUGAGUAAUUGAAACAAGCAUUUUUGUUCCCUUGGCAGAAAGUCAGUCAUUAGCCAUAUACCUAUUUUACAAAGGGAGAUUAGAUAAAUUAGAGAUUAAAGAAAGUGGAACAGAUGUUUUUCCUCUGAUAAGCAUCAUUCUAUCAAAAAAGCAAAGAAACAACAACAAAAAAGCAAACCUCGGGAGACUUGGACUUGGUGCAGAAAACGUGGAGGCAGAAAUCCCAGGUUGGGGGAGACGUGGCCUGCACAGGGCCACACCUGGACCGUGUGGACGCUCUCAUCGUGCCAUGACUCAUCGCAGCGCAUCCUUCCAUGUCGUGAGGGUGCCAGGCGCCCAUGAGUUGUGUGGCGCCAGGCGCCUCGUGGACCUUGUCUUUACCCUCGCAGUAGCAGCCA
rnacentral:lncRNA from 1 species